rnacentral:misc_RNA from 1 species
UGUCAUUGCCUGCUGACGUCAGCAA